UUUCAAACAGACCGGCGUCUCUUUCAGACGGAUCCAGGAUCAAACAGGAGCAGAAGGUCUGGACCUGGACCAACGUCUGUGACAUUCCUCCACAAACAGGAGGGUGUGUGCACGCCUCCACAGUGUUACUGGGUAAAAAAAAGUUUUAAUAUUUGCAGCUUUAAGAAACUCUCGGCUUUUUGAUAUAUCAGUAGAUUAUCCAGGAGGGCCUCUGCUAACGUUCAAGUUUGUUUGUGGAGCACAUUUGAUAACAGAUCAGUGAAACUAAAGUGCUGAACAAGCCUAAAAACACGACUACUAAAGACAAAUAUACACUAGAUACACAAUAAAUAACUGAACAAGAACAAACACAUGUUAGAAUAAUUUAGGUGUACCACAAGGCUCCAAUCUGGGGCCACUGCUCUUUUCUCCACACAUUAAACCCCAAUCUCCACCUUCAUCCUGAUCGUCUCCUAAAAGGUCGUAUCCUCCGAUCGUAGCUGAUCGUAACCAUUCAAGUUAACGUGUCAAUUUACACCGACUUCUUUCCGUUCCUCUGAGGAUCGCCAGAGUUCUAUUUUUUCUGGAUUCCGGAGCAUGGCGGAUAAAUUCAGCACAGAUUAACCCGUGCUGGAAAGGAAGUCGGGCACAGACACAAAAUAAAACAUCCGGCUUCUUUUCAAAAUAAAACACUCUGUUUCCGCCAUUUCGGAAGUGGUUGAAAUUCAGGGUUAGUCUUUAUCUAUGACAGGACUGAAUAAAAGGCUUUAAAGAUGCGUAAAAAACCAGUCGAACUUUUGCACAGCUAUGAUCAGGCAUUAUAAAACUCUUUAAAAAACUGCAGCAUUGUCCUUUAACUGAGCAGAGCUGGACGUCUGAGAGCUGAAAACACCUGCAGCUGGAGGAGAGUAAAUUCACUCCAGAACCUGGACUUUGUGUAACCUGCAGUCUGCACGAACAGAGAGAGAGAGAGAGAGAGAGAGAGAGAGAGAGAGAGAGAGAGAGAGAGAGAGAGAGGGAGAGAGGGAGAGAGAGAGAGAGAGGGAGAGAGGGAGGGAGAGGGAGAGCUUUAGCUGUUGUUGUGUUUGCCAGAAUUCAAAGAAUCUCUCUCUCUCUCCCUCUCUCUCCCUCUCCCUCUCUCUCUCUCCCUCUCUCUCUCUCCCUCUCUCUCUCUCUCUCUCUCUCUCCCUCUGUCUCUCUCCCUCCCUCUCUCUCUCUCUCCCACACUCUCUCUCUCCCUCUGUCUCUCUCUCUCUCUGUCUCUCUCUCUCUCUCUCUCUCUCUCUCUCUCUCUCUCUCCCCCCCUCUCUCUCUCUCUCUCCCUCUCUCUCCCUCCCUCUCUCUCUCUCUCUCUCUCUCUCUCUCUCUCCUCCUCACAUACCUGCCUCACAUUCCUCUCAGAGCUGCUGGAAGGAGUCGGACCAUCUGAGGCCGGACUGGGAGGUUUUUCUCCUCGCUCUUCCAAACACGUUACGCAACCGACCAAAGCAACAACCCUUCACUCUGUGAUUUAAGGACGGGUUAGCCGAGAGACCGUCCUCUUCAGACUGAGGGGUAAAAACUACAACUGAGAGGAUCUAAUGUUUGAAAAAGGUCAGAGGUCAGAGGUUUACACGCCUGGGUCAGAACAGGUGAGAUGUUCUCUAAUGAAGAAGAGGAGGAGGAGGAGGAGGAGGAGGUGUCUCAGGGAUUAUCUUUCUUAUACCGAUCACAUCUUUAGCAAACACUCUAACUUGUCUGUUUGGGUUCAUCUUAAAGUUAACUAAACUAAGUUACGGGCCGUCCAAUCAGCUUCCAGACAGAGAGGGCGGGACAAAGUGGUGAGAGGUAAAAAACAGAGAGGAGACAAAGUGAAGUUCAGAGGAAGAGGGGAGUUUACAGACAGUCAGUCACACCCUGUGAUUAUCCUGAUCACACCUUUUUAGGAGUCAUCUCCUCUGAGUAACGACAGAACAGGAGGGGGGAAAUCAAAGGUCAGAUAUCUGUUAUUAUCUCUCCGUGUUUUUACUGCAGAAACUGUUUUUUCAUGUCUCCUCUGAUGUGUUUUUUUUUCCUUUUCUGUUUCAGCUUCAUGUCGACCAAAGGUCAGCAAACAUUAGAAAAAAAAGGACAUUUCAUCCACAGGGGGGCAGCAUUUAGUCUGGACUGGAAACUUCAUAAAACCUAGGACAUCGUCUCGGUGACGUCAAUUAUAGAUAAUAGGUCUGCCACAAACAAUUAAUCUGAUAAUCAACACGACUACGGUUAGUUUUGCGAUUAAUCGAAUAAUCGUAGACGCCCUAAAAGAUAAUCGUAACAUGAGACAAAGACGUGGAGCUGACGCCGAUCUUUAGCUCCCUCACCUGUAAGCCGAGUCAGCUGUACGUUAAACUGUGCGGAGGUCGUCACCUUAAAGCUCCUGUGAGGAACUUUCAGUUUGUGUGAGUUUUGGCGCCCCCUGUGGACACAGCAGUCUUUGCUUUUCUUUCCUCGACGAUCUCGUCCUGCGAGUGUUUAAUCUCUCGUUAACGUUUAAUCUUGAAUCGUAAAUCUGAGUUGUUUCUCGGACACCUUCCUCCUCACACCAGUUUAGGCCUUAGAAAUUAGGGGCGUCCCGAUACAACUUUUUUUCCAAUUUGAUACCGAUAUUGUAGCCUUCAGUAUCGGUCGAUACCGAUAUUGAUCCGAUAUUGGCACAGAAUUACGCAUGACAAGUUUUGCACUCAGCUGCAGUGUCUUUUUCGGACUUCAACGAAAAAUACCGCCACACGGCCGACUUCACUCCUACUUCUUGAUACUUUGUUCGUACCUUAGUACACACUGUUGUUGUGAUCACGUGGGCUCUACAUGCUAGCUAGAGGUGCCGGAGUGGAGUCUGGAAUGGACUGCUUGUAUCUGUGCUGAUAUCAGAGAUUUUAGAUCGAGGCCGAUAUGAUCCGAUAUUUGUUUUUGUUUUUUUGCCGAUAUCAACCGAUAUCCGAUAUCAAUACUGUAUCAGGACACCCCUAUUAGAAAUUACUGUUUAACAGUUAUCAAUAUUUUACUGAUGGUCUGGUUUUCUUUUGUAUAUUAUUAAAAAAACAUCACAAUGAGUUUAAUCUAUUUUGAAAACUUAAAAACUCCAAACAGGAGCUUUAAUGUCUUUAAAAAGUACAACAGAAAAUCACUCUCCCUACAUAAAACUCGACCUUUCUUUUCAGACAGGCUUUAACUGAUGUCAACAUUGUGGAGCCUCUCUGAAGUGCCUGUAUCUGUGCCAUUAUAAGUUUAGUGUUUCUCUGUAUUCUAUUACAUUUUAUCCUUGUUGUAAAGCACUUUGUGAUUUUAUCUAUGAAAAGUGCUUUAUAAAUUAAAUUUACUUUCUUACUUAAAUAUGAAACAAACUCCAAACUCCUGUUCUGAACCAGGCUGCACACGUCUGUAUUUCCUCUGUAUAAACAGUGUUUUCUGAAUGGGUGUGUAUGUGGCUCCAGUGUUUUUGGAAACAGCCUCAAGUGGACACUUAAGGAACUGCAGUUUUUUUGCACUUCCACAUCAGCUACUGAUCAGACCUAACUACAAAAUCCUUAAAAUCUCCUUUUAGGUCCAACAUUAAAAUACCAUCUUUUACAGCUAAACUCCACGUGUUUUCAGCCUGGAUCAGAAACAGGUUCACUCUCUGUGGUUCAUGUUUUUUCAGUGUUACAGCACAGGUAAGGGUUAGGGUCGACAGCUGAGUGACUGUUCCUGGCUGACUCAGGUGCUGACAUGCAGAGCUGCAGGCGAAGCACACGGUGUCUGGAAACGAGGUGUUGAUGCUUAAAAUCUCUGUGGAGGUUUAAUUUUCUGAUUAUUAUCGCGGCUGAAGAAUGUGAUGUGAAGUAUGACCUGAUAAAUUUGCAUAUCCAGCAGUAAAUGACAUUAAUGUGAGAUAUUUUAACCUCCAAACUGAGGAAUCAUGAUUACACUCACAGCUGAUCAGUCAAAACUAAGUGUGGAGGGAUUUCUAUUCUUCACUCCCAUCAUCUGUUGCUGCUAAUCAUAUGAAG
rnacentral:lncRNA from 1 species